GGUUGCGAUCAUACCAGCACUAAUGCACCGGAUCCCAUCAGAACUCCGCAGUUAAGCGUGCUUGGGCGAGAGUAGUACUAGGAUGGGUGACCCACUGGGAAGUCCUCGUGUUGCAACCCC
rnacentral:rRNA from 1 species